CUUGACCGACCCCAACAACAACGGCUGCUGCCGCUCCUGCCCAUAGGUCGCCAACAACGCCUGCGCCUC
rnacentral:antisense_RNA from 1 species